UUUCCGUAGGUGAACCUGCGGAAGGAUCAUUAACAAAAUAAAUAAUCCACCCUAAAGGGAAAAAAGGUUCCUAAAAAAAACCUUUAUCCCUUUAAGCAACCUGUGAACUUUGUUAAAGUUUAUACUAGUAUCCACCGAGGUGGUUACUAUUUUUAAACAACCUUUGUUUAACAUUUUGUCUUAUCAUUUUUGGAAUUACUCUCGGGUAAUUUUACGAAAAUCAAAAAACAAAUUGUAACAACUUUUAACAACGGAUAUCUUGGCUCUU
rnacentral:misc_RNA from 1 species